rnacentral:lncRNA from 1 species
ACAUGGUAUCAGAGCGAUAAGAUCCUUUGACCUAAUUUACUACUACUACUACUACUGUACCGAUGUUGGGCCCUCUGUGGAUGUUAUUCCCACAUUGUCCACGCUUCAGACCUAGAUGUCUGAGCGUGAGGGAGGGUAUUGAUGAGAAACAUCCCACAUCGGAUAUAUAAGAAUUAAUCUACUACUAUAUAAAGGGUUAAGGCCAAUCCACUAAUUGCCAAUUGGUUUUAAGUUGGAAGCCCAUAAUAAACCCGAAUCUAACAUGGUAUCAGAGCGAUAAGAUCCUUUGACCUAAUUUACUACUACUACUACUACUGUACCGAUGUUGGGCCCUCUGUGGAUGUUAUUCCCACAUUGUCCACGCUUCAGACCUAGAUGUCUGAGCGUGAGGGAGGGUAUUGAUGAGAAACAUCCCACAUCGGAUAUAUAAGAAUUAAUCUACUACUAUAUAAAGGGUUA